GAUGAAGAACGCAGCGAAAUGCGAUAAGUAGUGUGAAUUGCAGAAUUCAGUGAAUCAUCGAAUCUUUGAACGCACACUGCGCCCCUUGGUAUCCCGAGGGGCAUGCCUGUUCGAGCGUCAUUUCACCACUCAAGCCUGGCUUGGUGUUGGGCGACGUCCCCUUUGGGGACGCGCCUCGAAACGCUCGGCGGCGUGGCACCGGCUUUAAGCGUAGCAGAAUCUUUCGCUUUGGAAGUCGGGGCCCCGUCUGCCGGAAGACCUACUCGCAAGGUUGACCUCGGAUCAGGCAGGGAUACCCGCUGAACUUAAGCAUAUCAAUAAGCGGAGGA
rnacentral:misc_RNA from 1 species